UACGUAGGGGGCUAGCGUUGUCCGGAAUCAUUGGGCGUAAAGCGCGUGUAGGCGGUCCGGUAAGUCCGCUGUGAAAGUCGGGGGCUCAACCCUCGAAAGCCGGGGGAUACUGUCGGGCUAGAGUACGGAAGAGGCGAGUGGAAUUCCUGGUGUAGCGGUGAAAUGCGCAGAUAUCAGGAGGAACACCAAUUGCGAAGGCAGCUCGCUGGGACGUUA
rnacentral:rRNA from 1 species